rnacentral:rRNA from 1 species
UACGUAGGGUGCGAGCGUUAAUCGGAAUUACUGGGCGUAAAGCGUGCGCAGGCGGUCCGCAAAGUCUGAUGUGAAAGCCCCGGGCUCAACCUGGGAACUGCAUUGGAAACUGGCGGACUCGAGUGUGGCAGAGGGGGGUGGAAUUCCGCGUGUAGCAGUGAAAUGCGUAGAGAUGCGGAGGAACACCGAUGGCGAAGGCAGCCCCCUGGGCUAACACUGACGCUCAGGCACGAAAGCGUGGGGAGCAAACAGG